rnacentral:rRNA from 1 species
AGAGUUUGAUUAUGGCUCAGAACGAACGCUGGCGGCGUGCUUAACACAUGCAAGUCAGGGAGAAAGUCUCUUCGGGGAUGAUUAAACCGGCGCACGGGUGAGUAACACGUGAGUGACCUGCCUUUUAGACUGGAACAACUUACCGAAAGGUGAGCUAAUGCCGGAUGAGUUAUAUAAGUGCAUGUUUAUAUAGGAAAAGUUGGGGAGACCUGACGCUGAAAGAUGGACUCGCGUCCCAUUAGCUAGUUGGUAGGGUAAUGGCCUACCAAGGCGACGAUGGGUAGCCGGCCUGAGAGGGUGGCCGGCCACACUGGGACUGAGACACGGCCCAGACUCCUACGGGAGGCAGCAGUGGGGAAUUUUGCGCAAUGCUCGUAAGAGUGACGCAGCGACGCCGCGUGAAUGACGAAGGCCUUCGGGUCGUAAAGUUCUUUCGACAGGGAAGAAAAUGCCUAUAAGUAACUGUGUAUGUAUUGACGGUACCUGUAUAAGCAGCCCCGGCUAACUCCGUGCCAGCAGCCGCGGUAAUACGGAGGGGGCGAGCGUUGUUCGGAGUGACUGGGCGUAAAGAGCACGUAGGCGGUGUUGUAAGUC